rnacentral:rRNA from 1 species
GAUGAACGCUGGCGGCGUGCCUAAUACAUGCAAGUCGAGCGAACAGACGAGGAGCUUGCUCCUCUGACGUUAGCGGCGGACGGGUGAGUAACACGUGGAUAACCUACCUAUAAGACUGGGAUAACUUCGGGAAACCGGAGCUAAUACCGGAUAAUAUAUUGAACCGCAUGGUUCAAUAGUGAAAGACGGUUUUGCUGUCACUUAUAGAUGGAUCCGCGCCGCAUUAGCUAGUUGGUAAGGUAACGGCUUACCAAGGCAACGAUGCGUAGCCGACCUGAGAGGGUGAUCGGCCACACUGGAACUGAGACACGGUCCAGACUCCUACGGGAGGCAGCAGUAGGGAAUCUUCCGCAAUGGGCGAAAGCCUGACGGAGCAACGCCGCGUGAGGGAUGAAGGUCUUCGGAUCGGAAAACUCUGUUAUUAGGGAAGAACAAAUGUGUAAGUAACUAUGCACGUCUUGACGGUACCUAAUCAGAAAGCCACGGCUAACUACG